CCAAAUUUAUCCCAAGCAAAUAGGUAAUGCCAAAAAAUUUAGAUCAACAUGCCAUCUAUUUAUCUUAACGAGUUUAACAAGCGCUCGCGAGCUCUUAAUGAACCGAGCCGAACAAUGGUCUCAGAUCAUUAACGAUAACGAUCUUAACGAUCCGAGCUCUUAACGAACCGAGCUCAAUGAACCGAGCUCUUAACGAACCGAGCGUGCUCGUUAGCCAGCCCUAGGGAUGAGCGACUCAAGGGUUUUUUCGAAACUUUUAAAGGUACUCAAGUUCGUGCAGGGAUAUCAGUGGCAAUGUUGCUACUCCAGUCUGAUGCAAUCUCUAUGUUGAAUCCUCAGCAAUAUUUCAUGUUGCAAAACAUGAUAUCACGGAGAAGAUGUUUUGAAGAGAUUUCAUCGUAAUUAUAAGAGUUACCUUAUAGUUUCUAGAAUCUAUGAUCCAAAGCAUUGUGGCUGUAAUGGUUCUGGCGUUGAAUAAAAUUACAGGUUUUAUUAAAAAAGGAAAAUAAUAGCAACGGAAGGAAAACUAAAAAAAAAAGAGGAAGCUCGCGUUGCAUUAAUUCCACCCCACCGGAAUUAACCAAGUUUUGCAAGUGCCUGUCUGGCUCUCUAAGGUCGAUCUUGCCAGAAAUCAUACACAUUUUGACGCUUUUCUUGAUAGAAAAUGGCGUGCAGACCUGAGAAAAGAGAAUGUGACGUUUCUCUUGAUAGACACAGGCACCAACACGUACUUAGUACCACGGUGAGCGUCGAAUUAGAAUCAACGAAUUGGUAUGGUCAAAGUAGUUAAGUCACGAUCGAGGC
rnacentral:lncRNA from 1 species